GUUUGCCCAAACCAUAGAAUGUACAACACCAAGAUUGAGCCCAAAGUGAAUGACUUCCACAAAAAAAUGAGAAUUGUUUCUCUAUGUUAAAAUAGGAAAAAAGAAAUUUUUGCAAAUUCAACAGUGCAUCCAUUUGCAUGCUGAAGACAUUUCCAAGUGCUUUUUUAUCUUUGAUACAGUUGAUGACAGCAUGUUGGAAGAUUAAAAUAAAAACAUACAGAAAAUAAAUUGAAUCUUUUGAAAUA